CAAGCAGAGAAGGGCGCACGGUGAAUGCCUAGGCACUAGCAGCCGAUGAAGGACGUGACGAACUACGAAAAGCUUCGGGGAGAUGUAAGUAAUCAGAGAUCCGGAGAUGUCCGAAUGGGGGAACCCAGCCGAGAGGCUAUCUGGAAGAAAUUUCAGAGGGAAUACGCAGUGAACUGAAACAUCUAAGUAGCUGCAGGAAGAGAAAGAAAAAUCGAUUUCCCAAGUAGCGGCGAGCGAACAGGAAAGAGCCUAAACCUGAGGAUUUAUCCUUGGGGGUUGUAGGACUGCAAGAAGGGGACCGGAAGAUAGACGAAUGAACUGGGAAGUUCAGCCAGAGAGGGUGAGAGCCCCGUAAUCGAAAUCGGAAGGAAGCCGAGCAGGAUCCUGAGUAGGGCGGAACACGAGGAAUUCCGUUUGAAGCAACGAGGACCAUCUCGUAAGGCUAAAUACUAGCAAGUGACCGAUAGUGAACCAGUACCGUGAGGGAAAGGUGAAAAGAACCCCGGGAGGGGAGUGAAAGAGAACCUGAAACCGUGUGCCUACAAGUAGUCAGAGCCCGUUAAGGGGUGAUGGCGUGCCUUUUGUAGAAUGAACCGGCGAGUUACGUUAUAUAGCGAGGUUAAGGCAGAAAAGCCGGAGCCGGAGCGAAAGCGAGUCUGAAGAGGGCGAAGAGUUGUAUGAUGUAGACCCGAAACCAAGUGACCUACCCAUGGCCAGGUUGAAGGUGCGGUAAAACGCACUGGAGGACCGAACCCACGUAAGUUGAAAAUUGCGGGGAUGAGCUGUGGGUAGCGGUGAAAUUCCAAACGAACUUGGAGAUAGCUGGUUCUCUCCGAAAUAGCUUUAGGGCUAGCCUCGAGCGAAGGUCAAUGGAGGUAGAGCGCUGUUUGGACUAGGGGCCCGUCAGGGGUUACUGAAUCCAGAUAAACUGCGAAUACCAUUGAAGCGUGCUCGGGAGUCAGACUGCGAGUGAUAAGAUCCGUAGUCGAAAGGGAAACAGCCCAGAUCACCAGUUAAGGUCCCCAAAUCUAUGCUAAGUGGAAAAGGAUGUGGAGUUGCGUAGACAACUAGGACGUUGGCUCAGAAGCAGCCAUCAUUCAAAGAGUGCGUAAUAGCUCACUAGUCGAGUGGCGCUGCGCCGAAGAUUUACCGGGGCUAAGCAUAGUACCGAAACUGUGGAUGCAUCGCAAGAUGCGUGGUAGGAGAGCGUUCUAACGGCGGAGAAGCAUGAUCGAGAGGACAUGUGGAGCAGUUAGAAGUGAGAAUGCCGGUAUGAGUAGCGAAAGAUAGGUGAGAAUCCUAUCCGCCGAAAGACUAAGGUUUCCUGGGGCAGGCUCGUCCGCCCAGGGUAAGUCGGGACCUAAGGCAAGGCCGAGAGGCGUAGUCGAUGGAUAACAGGUAGAGAUUCCUGUACUGCGUUAAAUCGCGAUGAGCGAAGGAGGGACGCAGGAGGCAAAGCACGCAUGGGGCUGGAACCAUGUUUAAGCGUCAAGGGAGAAAGCGAGUGAAAUGCUUGCUUUUGAUAAUUCUGAGGCGUGAUGAGGAGCGAAAUUAGAGUAGCGAAGGUGCAGAGUCACACUGCCAAGAAAAGCUUCUAGCCAGAGAUAACGUACCCGUACCGCAAACCGACACAGGUAGUCGAGUGGAGAACACUAAGGCGAGCGAGAGAACUCUCGUUAAGGAACUCGGCAAAAUGACCCCGUAACUUCGGGAGAAGGGGUGCUGAUUGAGAGAUCAGCCGCAGAGAAUAGGCCCAAACAACUGUUUAUCAAAAACACAGGUAUCUGCAAAAUCGUAAGAUGACGUAUAGGUGCUGACACCUGCCCGGUGCUGGAAGGUUAAGAGGAGAGCUUAGCGCAAGCGAAGGUUCGAAUUGAAGCCCCAGUAAACGGCGGCCGUAACUAUAACGGUCCUAAGGUAGCGAAAUUCCUUGUCGGGUAAGUUCCGACCUGCACGAAAGGUGAAAUGAUUUGGGCACUGUCUCAACGAGAGACUCGGUGAAAUUAUAAUACCCGUGAAGAUGCGGGUUACCCGCGACAGGACGGAAAGACCCCAUGGAGCUUCACUGUAGCUUGAUAUUGAGUAUCUUUUAAACAUGUACAGGAUAGGUAGGAGCCGAAGAAGGCAGUACGCUAGUAUAGCCGGAGGCGCUGUUGGGAUACUACCCUUGUUUGAAGGAUGCUCUAACCUAGACGCGGAAGCGGCGUCAGGGACAGUGUCAGGUGGGCAGUUUGACUGGGGCGGUCGCCUCCUAAAGUGUAACGGAGGCGCCCAAAGGUUCCCUCAGAAUGGUUGGAAAUCAUUCGCAGAGUGUAAAGGUAUAAGGGAGCUUGACUGCGAGAGAGACAACUCGAGCAGGGACGAAAGUCGGGCUUAGUGAUCUGGUGGUACUGAAUGGAAAGGCCAUCACUCAACGGAUAAAAGCUACCCUGGGGAUAACAGGCUUAUCUCCCCCAAGAGUUCACAUCGACGGGGAGGUUUGGCACCUCGAUGUCGGCUCGUCGCAUCCUGGGGCUGAAGUCGGUCCCAAGGGUUGGGCUGUUCGCCCAUUAAAGCGGCACGCGAGCUGGGUUCAGAACGUCGUGAGACAGUUCGGUCCCUAUCCGUCGUGGGCGCAGGAAAUUUGAGAGGAGCUGUCCUUAGUACGAGAGGACCGGGAUGGACGCACCGCUGGUGUACCAGUUGUUCUGCCAAGAGCACAGCUGGGUAGCUAAGUGCGGAAGGGAUAAGCGCUGAAAGCAUCUAAGUGCGAAGCCCCCCUCAAGAUGAGAUUUCCCAUGCGAAAGCAGUAAGACACCUCAGAGACGAUGAGGUAGAUAGGCUGGGAGUGGAAGAGCCGCGAGGCUUGGAGCGGACCAGUACUAAUCAGUCGAGGACUUGACC
rnacentral:rRNA from 1 species